rnacentral:rRNA from 1 species
AUUGAACGCUGGCGGCAGGCCUAACACAUGCAAGUCGAACGGUAACAGGAAACAGCUUGCUGUUUCGCUGACGAGUGGCGGACGGGUGAGUAAUGUCUGGGAAACUGCCUGAUGGAGGGGGAUAACUACUGGAAACGGUAGCUAAUACCGCAUAACGUCGCAAGACCAAAGAGGGGGACCCUCGGGCCUCUUGCCAUCGGAUGUGCCCAGAUGGGAUUAGCUUGUUGGUGGGGUAACGGCUCACCAAGGCGACGAUCCCUAGCUGGUCUGAGAGGAUGACCAGCCACACUGGAACUGAGACACGGUCCAGACUCCUACGGGAGGCAGCAGUGGGGAAUAUUGCACAAUGGGCGCAAGCCUGAUGCAGCCAUGCCGCGUGUAUGAAGAAGGCCUUCGGGUUGUAAAGUACUUCCAGCGGGGAGGAAGGGAGUAAAGUUAAUACCUUUGCUCAUUGACGUUACCCGCAGAAGAAGCACCGGCUAACUCCGUG